UUUUUCCCUUAAGUUAUAGUAGAAGGAUAAAAUAAAUAUAUUUACCCACUUAUGCAUUGCUCAGCCCAUUCAUUCAACCUUUAACCAACACUCUCUGAGUACCUAAAUCUGUCAGGCAUGGUACGAAGCAAUGGAGUUUACAAAGAAAUUUAAGACAUAAGUCCCUCCUUUGAAGAACUUAUCCAUUCUCCUCUUCACUGUAGUUCAUCUACCUUCCAUCUGUGGAGAUAAAGGAGAAGUAGACCAAAGAGUUGAGGGAGGGGAAAUGUAAAAACAAAAGGAAAAAUUCUAACAGAAGUUCUUAAAAUUUUAUUGAUAUAAAAAUGAAGAAAAUAUUAAAAAUAAUAAUAGAGCUAGUUAUGCUGUAUAUAAUACACCAGAGAAAAUUGUGGCAUAUCCUCAUUUAGUUAAGGCAAAAUUAGCUUUUGGUUUGUGGCAUGUACUCUGAAGUUUCCAAUGAAGUAAACAGUAUUUUGUUGUUUACCCCACUCUAUUUUCCUAGGGUUUCUUUGAAUUGAUCUUGUCUGAGUUAACAGACAUUUUCUGGAAUAUAAUUAGUUGAUAUCAUCCAAUUCAUCACUCUUUUCAAAAACUGUUCCCAUCAUUGUGAUGAAUAGCAUUAUGUUCCUUUAAACUCACCAGGUGUGUUGAUAUUGAAGUUAGGAUGUGCCCAGAGUGACGGCUUCUGAAGUUCCCUUCACACAUUUUUGCUCUCUUUAGAGACUAUCUUUUCCCAGCUUUAAGUUUUAGAUCAGGAACGAAGCCUGAAUCUCUCCCAGGCAUAUCUGUUAGUGAUCUGCUACUGAAUAAGAAAUACUGGACUUCAGUAUUUACCUUCACACAGUUUGGGCGAGAACGUGCUGAAGCCCCCGGCAUGCUUGGGUGGCAUCCCCGUUCCCUGCUUCUUGAAUGAGUCCCUGUGGGGAGUUGCAGGAGGGAUCUCCCUGGCGUGAAUAAUCUUGACGCUUCACCGCAGAAGCUAGAGGAAAGAGAGAAAAGCAGGGACCAGCAGCAUACACAUAAUUUCUGUUCUUCACUACACAGAAUAUCGUUCACCAGCACAUUGGCGCAAGUCUGCCUCCACGGCGAUCAAGAUUAACAACUCUU
rnacentral:lncRNA from 1 species